UGAGGUUUAGAGGGGACACAGAUCCAGACCAUAUCAUCGCCCCAGGGAUUCCGACUCCCCAAGUCUGGAGUGGGGCCUAAGGCUCUGUAUUUCUAACAAGCUCCCUGUUGAGCCCAAGCUGCUGCUGUUCCUAGGCACCGCUGACCAACACAACACGCUCGUUCAACCCCCUCAAGGUGCUCUGAAGAUUCCUCGAAAAUACAUCUGAGAAAUUCUUUUGACAUCCCGGAUUAUUCUCCAGCCUACUUAGUUAUAAAUGAGUCUGCGUGUGUCUCAGUCUGUGCUGAUAAGACGGAUGGAGUCCUCCUUUCCUUACAGUAGGAUGCUCAUUCCACCCACUGAGAUGGCUUUCAAAUCGACAGUAGAAUCCAGCACAUAUUCUGUCUUUGGAAAAUUGCUCCAGGUGUAUCCUCAGAACAAUCCAGCCCCGUCGUCACUUUCCACAGCCACUGCUUGGCACCUGCGGUAGCUCUGAGAGGCUCCGUUAUGCGUGUGGCAUCAGCCUUUUUUUCUAGCAGCCUUGGGGAGAUACAACUCCUGAUACAGGUGAUGGUUGUGGAGCCCACAGGACUGCAACCUCACACUGCAGGGCUGGAGGCACAGACUGAGUAUUUACUAUUCUAUGGCCCGGGGGGCUCAAGGCACAGAGCUCCUCAUUAGCCAGAGUCGCCCAAGUUCCCCUUGCUCUCAGGAUUUCCUCAUCAUCAUGCAAGAAGAAGAAGAGAAAAGUGAGUGUCCAUAGAAGCUCUGGGGCUCUUCCUCUCAUCAGGAGAGAGCUUGUGUGUAUUAUUCGCUUCUUUCUUUUCUUUUACAAGAUCCAAGUGCUUUAAUUUUCAUCUUUUAUUAUGGGAAGAUAUACCACGUAUAAAUAUUAAAAAUCACAAAUAUAGAUUAUUUCAUAUAGAAUGGCCAGUAUAAACAUUUACAAUUUCCACUAGUUUUCAGUUUACAGUUUAAUCACAUUAGGUACAUUCACAUUGUUUAGCAACCAUCACCGCCAUCAUCUCCAGAACAGUUUUAUCCUUGAAAAUGGAAAUUGCACCCAUUAACCAAACUCCAUUCCACUCUCUCUCGCCCACCCCUGGGGGCCACCAUUCUGUUUUGCAACUCUGUAAGUUUAACUACUGUAGACACGUGAUAUAAGUGGAAUCAUACCGUGUUUAAUUUUUUUGGUUUGUUUGUUAUGGAGACAGAGUCUUUCUCUGUCGCCCAGGCUGGAGUGCAGUGGCAUGGUCUCAGCUGACUGCAACCUCCACAUCGUGGGUUCACGCGAUUCUUGUGUCUCAGUCUCCCGAGUAGCUGGGAUUACAGGCGUGCGCCACCACGCCCAGCUAAUCGUUGUAUUUUUAAUAGAGACGAGCUUUCACCAUAUUGGCCAGGCUGGUCUCAAACUCCUGACCUUAAGUGAUCCGCCUGCCUCAGCCUCCCAAAGUGCUGGGGUUACAGGUGCGAUCCACUGAGCCUGGUCGUGUUUAUCCUUUUGGGAUUUAUUUAUUUCACUGAUGAGAAUGUCUUCAAGGUUCACCCGUGUUACAGCCUGUGUCAGAAGUGCCUGUCUGGUUGUUUGCGUGUUUUUUUUUUUUUUUUUUUGGUUUUGUUUUGUUUUGUGAUUACAUGGAGUCUCACUCUGUCGCACAGGCUGGAGUGCAGUGACACAAUCUGGGCUCACUGCAACCUCCGCCUCCCAGGUUCCAGCAAUUCUUGUGCCUCAGCCUCACCAGUAGCUGGGACUAUAGGCACACACCACCACGCUCGUCUAAUGUUCUGCAUUUUCAGCAGAGACAGGAUUUCACCAAGUCCAUGGCCAGGCUGGUCUUGAAUUCCUGACCUCAGGUGAUCCGCCCACCUCGGUCUUCCAAGAUGCUGGGAUUACAGGCAUGAGCCACCGCACCGGCCAGAAGUGCCUGCCUUUUUAAGGCUGAAUAGUCUUCCAUCGCAUGAAUGAACUGCAGUGUGCUUUUUCAUUCAUCUGUCCACGAACCCUUGGGUUGCUUCCACAUGUUGGCUGUUGUGAAUAAUGCUGCUAUGAAUUUGGGUGUACAAAUCUCUCUUCCACUCCUGGCUUCUAAUUCUUUUUGGAGGGUACCCACAAGUGCAACUGCGGGAACAUCUGGUAAUCCUGUUUCUACUUUUUCCAGUACACGCCAUUCUAUUUUCCCUGUUCCUUCACGGUUUUACAUUCCCUCCAAUCAGUUUCGAGCAUUCCUACUUCCCUCUAGUUUCACCAAUGCUCGUUUGUUUAUCACAUCCAUCCAAAUGUGUGGUAUCACAUUCUUGGUUGGAUUUGCGCUUCCCUAUGAUGAGUGAUUUUGAACAUCAUUUUAGAUGCUUAUUGGCCAUUGCUGUAUCUUCUUUAGGGACAUGUCUACUCGAGUCUUCUGACCAUUGUUAAUGGGAUGCUUUGGGUUUCUUGUUGUUCAGUUCUAGCUGUUCUUUGUAUAUGAUGCAUAUCAGCCUCUUUUCAGAGAUAUGAUUUGCAAAUCUUUUUCCUAAUCCAUGGGUUAUCUUUUCACUCAGUUCACAGUGUUUGCUGAUGUACAAAAGUGUCUGUCAUUUAGAUGUCAUCCAAGGGAUCUAAUUUUCUUUUGUUGCCUAUGCUUUUGGUGUCAUAUCCCAGAAAGCAUUGCCCAAUCUGAUGUCAUGAAAGUGUGGCCAAUGUUUUCUUUUAGGCAUAUUAUACUUUCAGCAGUUGGGGUUAGGUCUUUGAUCCAGUUUGUGUUCAUUUUUGCACCUGGUGUGACAUAGAGUCCACCUUCAUUCUUCUGCAUGUGGAAAUCAAGUUUCUCCAACACCAUUUCUUGAAAAGGCUGCUUUUCCACCAAUGGACUUUCUUAGCACUCAUGUGAAAAAUCAUUUGAACAUAUAGGUGAGAAGUUAUUUCUGGGCUCAAAAACAAACAACAGACAACAGAUAAGGAUGCAGCAUGGGCCGGGCGCCGUUGCUCACGCCUGUAAUCCAAGCACUUUGGGAGGCCGAGGCGGGCGGAUCACCUGAGGUCAGGAGUUCAAGACCAGCCUGACAGACAGGAAGAAACCCCCAUCUCUACUACAAACACAACAUUAGCUGGGCAUGCUGGGGCAUGCCUGUAAUCCCAGCUGCUUGGGAGAUGGAGGCAGGAGAAUCGCUUGAACCCAGGAGGCAGAGGUUGCGGUGAGCCAAGAUUGCACCAUUACACUCCAGCCUGGGCAACAAGAGUGAAACUCUGUCUGAAAACAAAAAACCAAAAACAAAAAAUCCAGCAUGAUUUCGAGAGCAGAAAGAGAAUAGCUGAAAAACCAGCAUAAUGAGAAAGUUAGGAAGCUUCUUACCAAAGCAUCUGGAAAUAUGCCAGAAAUUCUUGUGAACUAAAAUUUUCAUACUGUACUAUCAAACACUAGAACUCACUUAUUCCAUCUUUCUGUAUUUUGGGACCCAAUUAUCCACUUCUCUUCAUUCCCCAUCCCACCCCUUUUCUUCCUAGCGUCUGCUAACCACCUUUAUACUUUCCACCUUCCUGAGAUUCCUUUUGUGUGUAGGUGUGUGAUGGAGUCUCUUUCUGUUGCCCAGGUUGGAGUAUACAGGCAAAAUCCGGGCUCACUGCAACCUCCGCCUCCCGAGUUCAAGCGCUUCUUGGGCCUCAGCCCUCCGAGUAGCUGAGACUACAGGCACGUGUCACCACACCCGGCUAAUUGUUUGUGUUUUCAGUAGAGACGGGAUUUCACCAUGUUGGCCAGGCGGGUCUCGAACUCUGGGCCUCAAGUGAUCCAUGUGACUCGGCCUCCCACGGUGCUGGGAUUACAGGCCUGAGCCACCAAACCUGGCCAAGAUUUUCUGUUUUGUUCCUACAUAGAAGUGAGGAUAUGAAAUAUUUGUCAUUCUGUGCCUGGCUUAUUUCAUUUAAUAUACAGACCUGCAAUCGCAUCCAUUUUGUCUGCAAUGAAGAGGAUUUUGUUUAUUCCUUUUUAGGCUGAAUAAUACUUCAUUGGGUGUGUAUACCACAGUUUCUCAAUUGAAACAAAUUUCUAAAGAGCAAAUAUUUUUAAAAUGUCUCAGAAUGUGAAACUUCAGGGAUACUGUGCCCAUUUUAUUCUUUUCUAUUUCACAUCUUAUGUAUAUGCAAGUGUAUAACAAAACAGCAAUCAAAGUGUGUAUAAAUCUAUAAUUUCAACAAAUGUAAAAUGAAAAUGCUAAGUGGUGGCUGGGCGCGGUGGCUCAUGCCUGUAAUCCCAGAACACUGGGAGGUGGAACCAGGCGGAUCACCUGAGGUCGGGAGUUCAAGACCAGCCUGACCAAUAUGGAGAACCACUCUGUGUACUAAAAAUACAAAAAAAAAAAAAAAAAAAUUAGCCGGGCAUGGUAGCGUAUGCGUGUAAUCCCAGCUACUUGGAAGGCUGAGACAGGAUAAUCUCUUGAAUACGGGAGGCAGAGGUUGCAGUGAGCCGAGAUCGUGCCAUUGCACUCCAGCCUGGGCAACAAGAGUGAAACUCUGUCUCAAAAAGAAAAAAAAAAGAAAAAAGAAAAAAAUAGAAAAUGCUAAAUGGUAAGAAACAACAGCAUAAUAAACAUUUGUAUGGUGUUGAUGGACAAUGCAUUUGAAGAUAAUAUUUGAAGAAAUCAUAUUACAAUUAACUUCUGUUCUUACUAAUUGGAGCUUGAUGCCUCUAAAAACUUCGUCAUUGCAACCACCUCUGGUGCUUAAAAAAAAAAAAAAAAAAAAUCCACAUACUCACACAGGUGCAGGGAAAUCAGAAUCUCAGGUAAUGGCACCCAGGCCUCAGCAUUUGUAAGCUCCCCAGGUGAUUUGACUCAAAGCCAAGAUUGAGGACGGGUGACAUGGAUCUCUACACAUAACCUGCCUAAAUAGAUUCUCUAGAAGCAGUUUAUAAAGAAAUUCCACAUGAACUCUGGAAGAGGAUAUGAAUUUGAUGUACAGUAUGUCCUCACUUAACAUCUUUGAAAGUCUCUUGGAAACUUCACCUUGAAGCAAAAUUAGGUAUAGUGAAACCACUUAUUCCUCACCAACAUUAUAACUACACAACUUUGAACGCACCAAUGGUGUUGGAGGACCUGCUGUACAUUGUUUCCAUAAAGGCAAUUUUCAGGGAAUUCCAAAAUGAAGUGAGGACUUCACGUAUAUAAAAAGAUGGUUGUGAUUCCACCUGGAUGACAGGGUUAUUGCUCAGAAACUAAAGGAGGCCACCUAGGUAUAGAGGAUUCAGUCAUGAGGUUUCUGCUAAACAAAGGAUCCCAGAAUCCUCACCCAUUCCAGUGAAAGGUAUAACGAAGAAAACAAUAUUCACAUAGGAAAUGCAGAAAGGAAUAAAAGCCAUCAAGCCACAAAAAUAAUGUGACUAAGGGGCAGGAUUUGCAGAUGUAGGGAUUUAAUGUGGUUGCCCU
rnacentral:lncRNA from 1 species